UUCAUGCUGGCAGAUAUAUGCUGUUGACUUAAGCUCGGCCCAUGGAAAUUUUAUUUCCGCAUGACA
rnacentral:tRNA from 2 species